rnacentral:rRNA from 1 species
GGGGAAUAUUGCACAAUGGGCGAAAGCCUGAUGCAGCGACGCCGCGUGAGGGAUGGAGGCCUUCGGGUUGUAAACCUCUUUCGCUCAUGGUCAAGCCGCAGCUUGGGUUGUGGUGAGGGUAGUGGGUAAAGAAGCGCCGGCUAACUACGUGCCAGCAGCCGCGGUAAUACGUAGGGCGCGAGCGUUGUCCGGAAUUAUUGGGCGUAAAGGGCUUGUAGGCGGUUGGUCGCGUCUGCCGUGAAAUCCUCUGGCUUAACUGGGGGCGUGCGGUGGGUACGGGCUGACUUGAGUGCGGUAGGGGAGACUGGAACUCCUGGUGUAGCGGUGGAAUGCGCAGAUAUCAGGAAGAACACCGGUGGCGAAGGCGGGUCUCUGGGCCGUUACUGACGCUGAGGAGCGAAAGCGUGGGGAGCGAACAGGAUUAGAUACCCUGGUAGUCCACGCUGUAAACGUUGGGCACUAGGUGUGGGGGCCACCCGUGGUUUCUGCGCCGUAGCUAACGCUUUAAGUGCCCCGCCUGGGGAGUACGGCCGCAAGGCUA